AUCUAGAGUUUUUAGGGUGUCCACGUAGCAUAUAAAUUCAAGCCAAUCAUAAGUCAAGAAUAUGCCGUGUCAUCAAAUACAUUCGUAACUUUUACGGGUCGAUUAGCCUCCGGCAAAGAGCAAAAUAAUUUUCUCGAUUCACCUUCUUCCACAAACCGUAAUAUCUCUCACCUUUUCUAAAUGUAAAUUCACCUCCUUAUCUCAAGAAAGCCAAGCCGAUUGCUGGUUCUGCCUCUCAGAAGAACAUCCAGUAUCUGAGCAUAAAAGCUGUGAUCUCAGCUCCAGCCAUGCUGUUGAUGACCGUGUAAUCAAUCUAUACAAAACCAAUCACAUCCUCUUCUCGAAACAUUCCUCUGCUCACGAUUCGGUACGACGAAUCUCUCUCUGCCGUGAAGAAGAACCUCGAAGGAAAAUCAGAUUCGGCCAAGGGUUAAAGUCGGUGCUGAUCUCUUACUCUUCAAUAAGUGCUAAAAGCUGCCGAUGAGUAUAGUAGGAGCUUAACAUCACAAUACUAGGCAGCUUUGAGAGGCUUAUGAGAAUGUUGGAAACCACAGGAAAGAGAGUAUCUAGAUUGAAGCUUUUAGUCAGUAGAAACAGAGAAAGACGAAGAAUACUUUUAUGCUGAUGGGAACUUUGUAGAAUAUGUUAGAGACAAGGAAGUGAAGGAUGCAUGUCCUGACAGUAUUGACAUUAAUCCAAUGUAACUAUGUCGAUGUGCUGCACAUGAUACUGAGAAGCAUGAAGAUAGUGAGGACAGUAAGGCCAUAGCAUUAACUUUCUCAAGAAGAUAUUGGAGUCAUAAAGAUGCGUAUUUCUUAACCUGUAGAAAA